rnacentral:rRNA from 1 species
GGGUUGUGAGGUUAAGCGACUAAGCGUACACGGUGGAUGCCCUGGCAGUCAGAGGCGAUGAAGGACGUGCUAAUCUGCGAUAAGCGUCGGUAAGGUGAUAUGAACCGUUAUAACCGGCGAUUUCCGAAUGGGGAAACCCAGUGUGUUUCGACACACUAUCAUUAACUGAAUCCAUAGGUUAAUGAGGCGAACCGGGGGAACUGAAACAUCUAAGUACCCCGAGGAAAAGAAAUCAACCGAGAUUCCCCCAGUAGCGGCGAGCGAACGGGGAGCAGCCCAGAGCCUGAAUCAGUGUGUGUGUUAGUGGAAGCGUCUGGAAAGGCGCGCGAUACAGGGUGACAGCCCCGUACACAAAAAUGCACAUACUGUGAGCUCGAUGAGUAGGGCGGGACACGUGGUAUC